rnacentral:rRNA from 1 species
CAAUAGCGUAUAUUAAAGUUGUUGCAGUUAAAAAGCUCGUAGUUGGAUUUCUGGUGGGAGCGAUCGGUCUGGCGCUUAGCGCGAGUACUUGCAUCGUCUCCGGCCAUCCUUGGGGAGAGUCUGUCUGGCAUUAGGUUGUCGGGCAGAGGAUCCUCAUCGUUUACUGUGAAAAAAUUAGAGUGUUCAAAACAGGCUUAUGCCGUUGAAUAUAUUAGCAUGGAAUAAUAAGAUAGGACUUUGGUACUAUUUUGUUGGUUUGCGCACCAAAGUAAUGAUUAAUAGGGACAGUUGGGGGUAUUCGUAUUCCGUUGUCAGAGGUGAAAUUCUUGGAUUUACGGAAGACGAACUACUGCGAAAGCAUUUACCAAGGAUGUUUUCAUUAA